rnacentral:rRNA from 1 species
UGGGGAAUAUUGCACAAUGGGCGCAAGCCUGAUGCAGCCAUGCCGCGUGUGUGAAGAAGGCCUUCGGGUUGUAAAGCACUUUCAGCGAGGAGGAAGGUGGUGAACUUAAUACGUUCAUCAAUUGACGUUACUCGCAGAAGAAGCACCGGCUAACUCCGUGCCAGCAGCCGCGGUAAUACGGAGGGUGCAAGCGUUAAUCGGAAUUACUGGGCGUAAAGCGCACGCAGGCGGUUUGUUAAGUCAGAUGUGAAAUCCCCGGGCUCAACCUGGGAACUGCAUUUGAAACUGGCAAGCUAGAGUCUCGUAGAGGGGGGUAGAAUUCCAGGUGUAGCGGUGAAAUGCGUAGAGAUCUGGAGGAAUACCGGUGGCGAAGGCGGCCCCCUGGACGAAGACUGACGCUCAGGUGCGAAAGCGUGGGGAGCAAAACAGGAUUAGAUACCCCUGGUAGUCCACGCUGUAAAACGAUGUCGAUUUUGGAGGUUGUGCCCUUGAGGCGUGGCUUCCGGAGCUAACGCGUUAAAUCGACCGCCUGGGGAGUACGGCCGCAAGGUUAAAACUCAAAUGAAUUGACGGGGUCAUAGCUGUUUCCU